rnacentral:rRNA from 1 species
CUUGAAUAAUUAUAAGAGGUCCAGCCUGCCCAGUGACUUAAUUCAACGGCCGCGGUAUCCUAACCGUGCGAAGGUAGCGUAAUCACUUGUUCUUUAAAUAAGGACUAGUAUGAAUGGCACCACGAAGGUUAUACUGUCUCCUUUCCCUAAUCAGUGAAACUAAUCUCCCCGUGAAGAAGCGGGGAUAAAAAUAUAAGACGAGAAGACCCUAUGGAGCUUUAAACAACGCAGCAAUUGCUACUUUUAUUAAGGACUCCAGAGUCUAAAUUACCUUAGCACUUUGACGGCAAGUUUUAGGUUGGGGUGACCGUGGAGUAUAAUAUAACCUCCACGCUGGAAGAAUCUUAUUCUUAGCUAAGAGCCACGACCCUAAGCACCAAUACACUGACAUCUAUUGACCCAAUAUA